rnacentral:tRNA from 1 species
GGGGGUAUAGCUCAGUCGUAGAGCAUGUAUGUGCUCAGCAUACAAAGCACCUGGCUGGGUUCAAUUCCCAGUACCUCCA